AUGAACGCUAGCUACAGGCUUAACACAUGCAAGUCGAGGGGCAGCAUGAUUGAAGCUUGCUUCAAUCGAUGGCGACCGGCGCACGGGUGAGUAACACGUAUCCAACCUGCCGAUAACUCGGGGAUAGCCUUUCGAAAGAAAGAUUAAUACCCGAUAGUAUAGUAUUUCCGCAUGGUUUCACUAUUAAAGAAUUUCGGUUAUCGAUGGGGAUGCGUUCCAUUAGAUAGUUGGCGGGGUAACGGCCCACCAAGUCAACGAUGGAUAGGGGUUCUGAGAGGAAGGUCCCCCACAUUGGAACUGAGACACGGUCCAAACUCCUACGGGAGGCAGCAGUGAGGAAUAUUGGUCAAUGGACGAGAGUCUGAACCAGCCAAGUAGCGUGAAGGAUGACUGCCCUAUGGGUUGUAAACUUCUUUUAUACGGGAAUAAAGUGGAGUAUGCAUACUCCUUUGUAUGUACCGUAUGAAUAAGGAUCGGCUAACUCCGUGCCAGCAGCCGCGGUAAUACGGAGGAUCCGAGCGUUAUCCGGAUUUAUUGGGUUUAAAGGGAGCGUAGGCGGGUGCUUAAGUCAGUUGUGAAAGUUUGCGGCUCAACCGUAAAAUUGCAGUUGAUACUGGGUACCUUGAGUGCAGCAUAGGUAGGCGGAAUUCGUGGUGUAGCGGUGAAAUGCUUAGAUAUCACGAAGAACUCCGAUUGCGAAGGCAGCUUACUGGACUGUAACUGACGCUGAUGCUAGAAAGGGUGGGUAUCAAACAGGAUUAGAUACCCUGGUAGUCCACACAGUAAACGAUGAAUACUCGCUGUUGGCGAUACACAGUCAGCGGCCAAGCGAAAGCAUUAAGUAUUCCACCUGGGGAGUACGCCGGCAACGGUGAAACUCAAAGGAAUUGACGGGGGCCCGCGCAAGCGGUGGAGCAUGUGGUUUAAUUCGAAGCAACGCGAAGAACCUUACCUGGUCUUGACAUCCCUAUGAAUAACGGGCAAUGCCGUUAGUACUUCGGUACAUAGGAGACAGGUGGUGCAUGGUUGUCGUCAGCUCGUGUCGUGAGGUGUCGGCUUAAGUGCCAUAACGAGCGCAACCCUUAUCUAUAGUUACUAUCAGGUCAUGCUGAGGACUCUAUGGAGACUGCCGUCGUAAGAUGUGAGGAAGGUGGGGAUGACGUCAAAUCAGCACGGCCCUUACGUCCGGGGCUACACACGUGUUACAAUGGGGGGUACAGAAGGCAGCUACCUGGCGACAGGAUGCUAAUCCCUAAAACCUCUCUCAGUUCGGAUUGGAGUCUGCAACCCGACUCCAUGAAGCUGGAUUCGCUAGUAAUCGCGCAUCAGCCACGGCGCGGUGAAUACGUUCCCGGGCCUUGUACACACCGCCCGUCAAGCCAUGAAAGCCGGGGGUACCUGAAGUACGUAACCGCAAGGAGCGUCCUAGGGUAAAACUGGUGAUUGGGGCU
rnacentral:rRNA from 1 species